rnacentral:rRNA from 1 species
UACGUAGGUGGCAAGCGUUGUCCGGAUUUACUGGGUGUAAAGGGCGUGUAGCCGGGCUUACAAGUCAGAUGUGAAAUCCGGGGGCUCAACCCCCGAACUGCAUUUGAAACUGUAGGUCUUGAGUAUCGGAGAGGCAGGCGGAAUUCCUAGUGUAGCGGUGAAAUGCGUAGAUAUUAGGAGGAACACCAGUGGCGAAGGCGGCUUGCUGGACGAAAACUGACGUUGAGGCUCGAAAGCGUGGGGAGCAAACAGG